CCUACGGGAGGCAGCAGUGGGGAAUAUUGCACAAUGGGGGAAACCCUGAUGCAGCGACGCCGCGUGAGUGAAGAAGUAUUUCGGUAUGUAAAGCUCUAUCAGCAGGAACGAGACAAGACGGUACCUGACUAAGAAGCCCCGGCUAACUACGUGCCAGCAGCCGCGGUAAUACGUAGGGGGCAAGCGUUAUCCGGAAUCACUGGGUGGAAAGGGAGCGUAGACGGCUGUGCAAGCCUGAAGUGAAAGGCGGGGGCCCAACCCCUGGACUGCUUUGGGAACUGUACGGCUGGAGUGCAGGAGAGGUAAGUGGAAUUCCUAGUGUAGCGGUGAAAUGCGUAGAUAUUAGGAGGAACACCAGUGGCGAAGGCGGCUUACUGGACUGUAACUGACGUUGAGGCUCGAAAGCGUGGGGAGCAAACAGGAUUAGAUACCCUGGUAGUC
rnacentral:rRNA from 1 species